CGGCGGACGGGUGAGUAACGCGUGGGUAACCUACCCUGUACACACGGAUAACAUACCGAAAGGUAUGCUAAUACGGGAUAAUAUAUUUGAGAGGCAUCUCUUGAAUAUCAAAGGUGAGCCAGUACAGGAUGGACCCGCGUCUGAUUAGCUAGUUGGUAAGGUAACGGCUUACCAAGGCGACGAUCAGUAGCCGACCUGAGAGGGUGAUCGGCCACAUUGGAACUGAGGCACGGUCCAA
rnacentral:rRNA from 1 species